rnacentral:rRNA from 1 species
AUUGAACGCUGGCGGCAUGCCUUACACAUGCAAGUCGAACGGCAGCACGGGUGCUUGCACCUGGUGGCGAGUGGCGAACGGGUGAGUAAUACAUCGGAACAUGUCCUGUAGUGGGGGAUAGCCCGGCGAAAGCCGGGUUAAUACCUCAUACGAACUACGGAUGAAAGCGGGGGACCGUCGGGCCUCGCGCUAUCGGGUUGGCCGAUGGCUGAUUAGCUAGUUGGUGGGGUAAAGGCCUACCAAGGCGACGAUCAGUAGCUGGUCUGAGAGGACGACCAGCCACACUGGGACUGAGACACGGCCCAGACUCCUACGGGAGGCAGCAGUGGGGAAUUUUGGACAAUGGGCGAAAGCCUGAUCCAGCAAUGCCGCGUGUGUGAAGAAGGCCUUCGGGUUGUAAAGCACUUUUGUCCGGAAAGAAAUCCUUGGCCCUAAUACGGUCGGGGGAUGACGGUACCGGAAGAAUAAGCACCGGCUAACUACGUG